rnacentral:piRNA from 1 species
UUGUGGGGAUGGGGCCAAAUAUG